rnacentral:lncRNA from 1 species
UGGGGGUGUUUGGGCAGUCCCUUUUUCACAUAACUAAAUGCUGGAGGAGAUGGAUGAGCUCUGCACUAUGAUACCAGCCUGUCUGGGUGUCCUUCUGCUGCCUGCCCCAGGGCAUCAUGUAGGAGCUUGGGCUCAGCCCUAGAGCCAGACCAAGGGCUGACAGUGGCUUAUGCUGCAGGGGGGCUGAGACCGGUGUGCCAUGAAGGGUGGGAUGGGCUGCCCGUGGCUGAGCCAGGGUGCUUUUGGGAGCCCUACGGGCACAGCCCUGCCUUUGUCCAUAAGUGAAUGGUGAGGGAAAGGCACUGGGGUUUUUCUUACGACCCUCUGAGGGAUGUUUUCUCAAUGACAGAGUGCUGCAUUGACUUGGUUCUUCCCGAAGCCUAUUCUCUAAUUCGUACCAGGACGGGUCUCUACAUCUAGUCUCUAUCGUCAUAAGAUAUGACAACUGGGCUCUCGUGAUGGAAAAAUUUGGCUCAAAAUGAGUGAAAUGCUCCCGUGACAGGUUACAGCGAGGUAAGAGAGGGGUGGCUUAGAUCUCAGUCAGCGGCAGUGGGACAGAAAGGAAGUGAAAAGCCCUCCUUAGCACAAUUUCGAAGCCGACUUUGAUUGACUGAGCGGGCUUAACGUGGGCAAACCCAGGUGGCAAGGCACCUCUGCCCCCUCUGCGGGCGCGGGGCUCGGCUUUCACUCCCCGCUCAUUUUUUAAUUUCUUUUAAUGGAAGCCCAGGAAAUGGGAUGCAGACCUUUCUCCUCAGGUGAGCGUUACAAAACAGCCUCCCUCGUUGUUUCGGGCUGCCCAGCCUCGCUCCGCGGGCUCUCCGGGCUGCGGCUGGCCGCGCUGCGGAGCGGCUCCGCUCCCGGGCGAGAGGGGCAGCCCCGCCGCAGCUUUCCGGCCCCUCCCUCCGCCUCCCGGGGUCCCCUCGCCCCUUCCCCGGCGGAGCGGAGCGGAGCAGCACGGUAAGUGCGGCGCUUUGCCGUCCCGGGCGCCCGCCGGUGCCGGGCGGAGCGGAGCCGGCUGCAGCCCCUCGGAACGGGGGACGCGAUCCAAAGCCGUUUCCUGGCUACCGGGACAAAUAUGCAAAUAUUUCCUUAUGCUGUUUCUCUUCUCUCCCGUCUUCUCUUUCUUGUUGUUGUUCUGAAAGUGGCAAAUUGUCAAACAACAACAACAAAAAAGUUGCUGUGGAUAUUUCGGAGCUGUUGCUUUAUGGAAAACAACUCCCUGGGUGGAGGCGAGAGCAGCCUGCGGUUCGGUGGGAGUGUUUGCAAAUCAGAUGUCACUUGGAGGUAGGGGAAAUCUGGCAACAUUACCCUGUGAACGCGGUCUCCAAGUCGUGCAGGCUCGCUCGCCUCAUGUGAGCUGAACGAAAACCAACGGGAAGUUUGCAAGGAAGAGGAGAAAAUGCAUGGGAUAAGUAAGAGAAGUGCUCACUGCCUGGUUUUGCUGGUGUUUUUUGAUUCCUGAAGCGAGCAGCGCUGGGUGCAAGCACUCACUGGCUGCCUCUUAAGGAAAGCGGAGUGUGGGUCUGUGUCAAGAUUUGGGGAGCAGUCUUGGAGCACUGGUGGAGCAAUCAAGCCCCAGGCGGUAGGCUCUUGAAACUUGAUUGAGAGCCGGCCUGCUCUGUGCCCCACGCCUCACCUCACCGCUCUGCUGUAGCACGAAGCCUCGUGCUGGAGCCCGUUGCCCGCUCUGAGCGGGGCCGAGGAGGUAGGGCUGUGCGCGUGGUUCGUGCUGCCUGCAGGAAGGUCCCUUGAGCUCACUGGUGCCACAGCAGGACCCGUUUCUUUGGUACCAAAGGAAAAGAUGUUAUUACAGACGAGUUCUUGUUUCUCUGAGCCCCGCGGUGAUGGGCAGAGGUGGUGAUGGAGGGCGUGUCUGUUCCUCCGGCUUUGUAAAGGAUCAUCAGCACCUGAAUACGCCUCCUGCUCAUGGAAGGCUUUGUUAAAACAAAGGCAUCCUUGCCCUUAUGCUGGCGGGGGGUGGGGAGGCUAUGAGCACAGGUAAUGGAUGCAGCUUUACUUUUAGCUGUGAUUUAACAGCGGUAGAAGCUACAGAUUAUGGCAUAUGAUUAGCAGGUAUAAGAGUAUUUGAGAAAGAUACAACUUAAUAGACGUAAAUCACCUUUGUUAUUCGGGUGGAUGUAACUAAUUUCAAUACAAAAGAUUUUUCCUGGAGUGGCAGAAUGGGGCCCAUAGAGGCCAAGGAAGGCUUACCUACUUUUUAAACUGCUUAUUUUCCCAAGGGUUAUCAAUUGGACCUGCGAAAUUGCUUUGAAGACACAGCUAUGCUAGCAUCAAUAGAGCUGGUGUUGACAUAAAAAUACCAUCCAAAAAUCACACCUUUAAUUGGCAUUAGUGUGUUGGCAAACUUUUUCCAGUGGAGCCUUAUCCUUCAACAGCCAUAUUAUUGUAACCAUAUCAUGUGUCGUGUCUCACGGGCACAGGCUCUGAGCAGGAUUUGUUGAAUUCAACGUGAUGACUGGAAUUGUAGAAUCACAGAGUGGUUUGGGUUGGAAGAGAUGUUAAAGGGUCUCCUGGUUUGAACUCCACUUCCCUUUCUCCACUUUCCCCAGUGAAGACAAGAAGUCAGUGGCAAAGGAGCUGAGGCCUUCAGUCUUGGUAACAUCUCAGUGAUUCCACUCUUCUGGGACUCCUGGUCUGGGACCACUGCAGUAAGCUGCUUUACAGGCUGCACUGAGAUAGAGAGUAGGCAAACACUGGCCUCUCAGUGUAUUUAAAUAGUAGGAAAAAUGGUUUUUUUCUUCUUUAAAUUCAAGUGUUUCCUUGAAUAGAGAGUUUCUUCACAUUUUUCCUUCCUUCUGUCCAUCCACUUUAACAUCUUUUCAGUUGCAUUAGGUAGUUAUACGUCAUUACAGUCUUAUAAAUUUAUCUGAUCUACAUAAAGCUGGCAGAACUGCUGUCUUUAUGUGAAUUAGUGCACUGAGUGGUAGGUAGCCUUACAAGGGUGAUGAUGGGCAGCAAGUCUCGUGGUACCUAAUGGCACCAGGAAUUACAUUCCAGUGUCAUCUGUACCUUCUGUCCUGGUCAGACCUGCAGCAUUGGAGAGCAACAGUAACUUGUGUAUGUGAGGGCUGGUUGGGUGUGCACUGCUGAGAACCCAUGGACCCGCUGGAAAAGACCCAUGACUGUGCAGGAGUCUGCACUGGAGUGCUCCUGGGCAUGCUGUAUGUGGACAACAUAAAGCCCCCCAGGCACCCCAGGCUGGCAUUUGACUCGAGCAGCAGUGCAAGGAUGCCUUCCUACCUGCUGUGGUUCUGGCUGGUAUUCAACCCUGUUAUUAUGGUUUGUUUGUUAGUUUUCUAAAUAUUUUGUUUUACUGGAUAGUUCCCCAACAGUGGAAAGGGAGGUGCUGGGGCAAUUCCAUGUGGCCACAGCUGCUCUAGUCCUGGGGAUGCUCAUUCCUCAGGAUCUGCAAAAGCAUGAAGUAGCUCCAUGCCAAAUCCAUGCUGUGACCUGAUUUCUCUGUGUUGGAAAUACUGCUUUUUGCACAUUACCUCUAAGGGCUUCCAUGGUUCUCAUUGCUGUAGUGUUUGGUAUCUGCUCACUGUUCUCAGAGCCUACAUGGAGGCUCUUGGGUAUGGAGAGUAACCUGAUUGUCAUCCUCAUGCCCUUAGAUUUUUAUACCUUUUGUGAAUCACACUGAGCCUCACCUUUCACAGCUGCUUCCUUUCUUUUAUUCUGAGGCAUGACAAAUAAUUACAAUGUUGGUUUCUUUCAAACUGCUGUUUGGGACUUUUCCCAUGCCUUGGAGUUUCUUCACCUGGUCUGUGGCUAAAAGCUGAAAUUUAACUGCUUCUGGCAAAAACCAGAAGAGUCCCUUGUGUUAUCCAGAGAUUUUUGUGGUUGUUGAAAGACUUCACUGGGCACAAGCUUUCCUACAGCUGCCUUCUGGCUUUUCAGCAUCAUAUCCUGAGGGAACCAGUGUGGCUAGCUGGCCCCAAAGUGUUUUGGGAUUGCUUGACUCCUUUCUGAGCCAGCAGCCUUGGAGAAUGCUCCCAUCUUUUCUGGAGGUGCCUUAAACAACCCAGGAAGAGGGCUGUGCCUGCUGGGAUCUCCCCUUCCUCCCCUGGCCCAGGGCUGAACUGUACCAAAGUAUUUCUUUUUUUAAGUCAUGUGCAGAUCCCUAGUGGCAGAAAAAACCUCGACUCUUAAUUAUUCUACUUCUUAUCUCUUAGAGGUACCGGCAGCUCAUAUGUUUAGAAUAAGGCUCUGAUAUAGUUUUAUGGUCUCACGUAUUCACUUUUGUUUAGCUUUUCCCCUCAUUCUCUUGCAUUAGAAAUUUGGAUUUCCUGCCAGCUCAUUGGCAUAAUAUUAACCUUUCUUUUUGCUGGACGUGACAUGGUGCCUUCAAUAACAGGGGCCUGGAUUUAAUGUCCCAGGGGUCCUUUCCAGUUCUAUGUUCUCGUUGAUUAGGAGCUGAAAGAAGUUUAUGAGAGGGGCUUUCCAAAGGCUGGUUUGUUUUCUCCUGCUUACAUUACUGUGGUCUUCCUUUAAGAAAUCAAACUGUUGAAACAAACGUAUAUCCCCCUUAAAUAUGGAAUUGGACUAUGAAAUUUCAGCUCAUUCGAGGCUCAUUUGUGCUCCUUCUUCUGAACAUGCUUAGAGCAAGAUCAGACCCUUUGACUUACCUUUCAAUUCUUCUUACAAACCUACUGUAUUAUUCAUGAAAAUUAAGUUGUGCUAAUUACAUCUCCUGUUCUGCUUUAUGCAAGACAUACAUUCCUGUCUGACUUGCUUGCUAAUGAACAUUGUGCACUGAAUCCAAACCCAGACAGAAGUUAAAGCGCUGUCACGAUCCAUGCACGCAGCUCACUCUCGUGUCCUUGUCUAGAUGUGACCUCCAGGCGUCCUACAGUGGCCAGGAGAUGUCAGUGACAUCUACUGCUGAGUGCACUACAUCCUGUGGCUUUCCUCAGUGUGGUCUCGUUUUUAUGAAUGAAGGCAGGCAAUGACUGCCGAGCUGUCCAGACUGGUGCCAGGAGCCUGGUGUUGUGGAGAUUGGGUGGAGGUGUUGUUGGAAGCUCUCCCUGGUCCCACCAUGGGAUGGCUGUGUGCAGCUGCACUGCUUCUGUGGGGUGGGCUGGGCUCAGGGGACACUGGGGAGAGAGAGCCAUGGAGAAGUGUAAGUCGCACUGUUUAGCAAAGUGAAGGUUCUCAUUUCAGAGACUUCUUCCCUGCUGAUUUUGGUAGGAUUUUAUUUUCUUGGAUCCUUAGAAUGAAGCUUCACUCAGUUCAGUUCUGGUUUUUGCUUUUGAUGCUAUUCAGUGAACAAACCUUGGAGACAAAGAGCUCAUUUUUUCCUGUAUCAGCAAAACUUUUUAGUAACUGCUAACCCCUUACACCUGUACGUGUCUGGUGAAAGAAGGGUCUUAGCCUGGUUGUGUCUAGACUGGUGAUGGAAGGAGAGAGGAAAAAGCAAUUCUUGGGGCAUGGAUACAUGACUUUUUGGAAACAGAAAAUAUAACCAGCAAAAGUUAUAUCCCCAAAAGAGCUGGUGGGAGGGGUCUUCUGGGUGUUCUUAAUCUACCUUGCUGCAAAGUCAGCCAGGUUAGCUCAAACCACCUUUGUUUUGACUUAAAUUAGCUGAGUCUGCAGUAGUGCUGUGAAUGUUCUCUCUGUCCCUCCUGCCAGACGUGUGGUGGGGGACUACCAGCCAGCUGCUGGUCCUCGGCCAACUCCUGCUGCAGCCACAUCCAGGAGAGGCCGUCUGUGUCCCCUGGGCUUCACUUAAAUCAGAGCUGAGCUAUUUGCCCAGCAUCAGUUUAAAACAUUUGUCAGGCAGAAUUAGCUUAAGAUGUGCCCUAUACACUCACACUCACGCUGUCCUUCACCUUCAGCUCGGCAUAUAUCCCCUGGUCCUUGUUCAGGUCUCAUUAACAGUCCUUUCUGGGAAAUUUCACAGAUCACCAGAGCUCUGUGGCAGUCAUCAGGGGUGGGAUCACUCCUUAAGGGUGUCUGCAUGGUGCAGAUUGAAUAGUUUGGUGUUUAAUUUGCUGAUUUACUCCUGGAAGGACAGGCUUGCUUAGUUACCUGAUGAUCUGUGAAUCAGUUAAGAUGAUACUGGAUAUGCACACAUAGAGCAAUUUAGAGGAUGCCUAUGAGAUUUGAAUUGCUGUUUAAAUUAAAGGUAAUUUGUUGUGUAUCUUUCUGUGACAAUCCCAUUCUAAGCAUUUUAUAGAAGCAACUUCUAGGACUUCUGCUUUUCUUUAUGGCUCACUGGACUUUGGAGACCAGGUUCCUAAUAUAAAGAUGGGAGCUAGUAAAGAAGUUUUGCUAGUAUCAUGAAUGCUUAAGAUACAAGGGAGACAGAAUGCAUUUAGAACCUUCAAGUGCUGCAUAACCUGAGACCUUUUCCCAGAUGAAUGCUUCUUUAAAUGUAUCACUGGAAAGGAAAAAAAAACCCGACAAUGACAACAAAAAACCCAAAUGUUUCUGCCAAUGAUGAUUUUUUUUCUUUAAGAAUUAAAAACGACUGUUUAGAAAUGAUUAAUUAUUGUAACAUGUGAGCACGGUAAGGUUUCAUCCAUUCACAGUAGUAUUUCAAAUGAUUUAAAGUUGUUUGUUCAGGGUUUGCUUUUACUAUGUCACUGGAUGUCAUGGAUUUGUUCCAGCUGUCCUCCACACAUGUAUUGCUCAUGAUGGAUUUUGCGUGAGAACAGACUGCCAGAUUUUAGUUUUGAUACCAAAGCCCAAUUUUGUUUCAGUUUUAAAACAGUUUUGCUUUGCAGAGUAUACUGCUGGCCUUUAAUGGAGUUGAUAGAGAAGAUGCUGGCUACUCUUCUUGUGCUGAGGCUGGGCCUGGUUUCCACAUCUGAAAGGCUUUGAAGCUGAGAGCAGUGUGGGCAUCUGAACAGUGAUCUUACCUGUCCCCGCUGAGCACAGCCACAUCUCCCCUGGCAGCAGCUGUGUCUACUCACUGCCUCCCAUUGCUGUCACUGCCUCUUGGCAGGGUGCAGCAGCCUUCUAUCUGCUGGCUGCGUUCUUCCAGUGAGUGUUGCCUAAUUUGCUUUAGGCAAAAUCAAGUGGAUUAUCUCAAGCCACUAAUUAGACUAUUGAAGGUAAUCCUGCUGGCUUUUGGAUUUGUCUUUUUCCUUCCCGAAGUGCAGUGGGGAGGAUGCUUAGCAGCCACAUCAGAAGGGAGCUGGGCAGUGCAGGGCUCCGCACCGGCACAGCUGCAGCUGAGGGACAGCGGGCACCAUGGCCUCAGCUGAGGCUUCAGGAAGUCAUUCAUCUACAGAGAUCUUUCUUCCUGAGCUGCCAAGGCUCGCCCGCUGGUUCUGCCAGGUCUAUUGAGGCUUUUUUCCCCCUUAUUCAAUUCUUGUUACUGGAACACUUACAUCUGGUAGUAUGUCAUCUUCCUAUUUCCUUCUUUAGUUUCCUAAACUAAUCUAACUCAAGCGUGGAGCUCUGUCAACUAAUCAAUAUAAUGCACUGUCAGAUUAUCUUGAAAGACUGAGUAUGAUUAAUGUAUUAAACUUGGAUGGCUGCUUGGAAAGGAUAUAAUCUGAUAUUGUAGAAAGCAGAUUGAUUUGGGGGAAUAGCGUAGAUAGGUCCAUGUGCUCAGAGGAACUGCAGCGUGCUCUGAAGCGUUGCAGCUUGCCUUUAGAGAAAACCAAAACUGCACUCUGCUCUCUGACAUGCUGCUUGGUUUUUGGCAUGGUUGCUUGCUCUCAGCCAGAAGGAUGUGCUCUGUGGAAAGCGUCUGAAAUAAUCUGUGGGCUUUUGUAAAAUGCAAGCACGAAUAGCAGGAGUGCACGAGAAGCAAUCUCUCUUCUUUUUUUUUAAUUAAAUUUUUGCAUCUUUGAAGUGUCAAUUUAGUGCACUGUGCCCUGGGGUACUGCAAGUGUCUGAGUAUUUAGGAUAUGUAAAACAACACGACUGUGCAAUAACAUCUCCUCAGUCUGCGCAAGCAGGUAACCUUUAGAUCAUUGCUUUUAUUCUUACAUUCAAACAAAGUGAGCUAAGAUGCUAGUAACCAACAAGGGCAUUUACUGAUGGACUUAUGUUUGCAAAACUCUAUCCUCAUGUAAACAGUAGAAACAAUGAGUUAGCAGUUUACCAUGAAGCUGAAGCAUGCCUCUAGACCUGACAGUGUCACAGUGAGUUAUAAUUCCUGGUGUUGCUGCUGUGGUCUGCAGUUGCCUGUCUCUGAGGCUGGAAAUGCCUUUUUGUUCUUUGCUUGUGCACUACUGGCUGCUGUGAUGUCCUAAUGUGAGCUAAGGUUCCAGGUGCUCUUAAGUGGGAUACAUCUCUGCAUUGGAAAAAACCACUCAAACAGGCAGCAAAGUGUGUGUCAGGCAAGCAUGUGUGUGUUUUAAAUAAAGCAGUCUCCACUGGGUUUAAAAUGAAAUGUUUCCAUUUCUUUUUAAGCCUGCUUUUCUAAAACUCAUUUAAAGAGACUAAAGAGCAUCUGCCAUUGGUGACAUCCUUGGGCCCUCAGAGCACAAAGCCUGUGACAUUUGGGUUGGUCACCAGGACGGGGCGCAGGGUUGGGUGUUCCUGGCAAGCACCUGGGCUGCAGCGUUUGUGUAACAGUGCUUACUAACUUUUUCUAGCUGGUUUUCAAUGAGAUAUUUCCUGAUGUGCAAAUUAGGUAGGCCUUAUUUAAUCAAACAAGGAAAAACUAAUUUAAAAUGCUUUUUUUUUUUUCCCCUCCUUAUUGACACUGAUAUUAGAACUAUGGGAAAACUUACAGUGCUGGCAAAAUGGGUGGAAAAUCAAACGUUAAAUGUUUUGCUUGAACAUUUUGUGGUUUCUCCUGAAAUUCUUUGUCUGAAACAAAGGAUGUUCUUUGUUCUUAUCUGGGGAGGAGGGGAGGAGGAAUGGGUUUUAUCUGGAAACAAAUCUGCAGUGUCACUGCGGAUCACUGGGGGCACUGAGUUCUCCACAACCUUGUGGUGGUGGUUGGCGGCUUUUUGUACCUGAAACAGAAAAGGCCAUUUACAAACUGUCCAGAAAGUUGCCUGAUGUGAUGAUGAAAAAUUGCUUGUUGGCAGGUCCUUAUAAAUGCACUCAGAAUCAAAAUGUUAGUGAUUUGGAAAAAUCUUGAAAUACAGUAAUUUCACAUGACCCCCUCUUGGAAGCUUCUACGUUUUGCAUUCUUUGCUCCAGCACAAUUCCCACUGAAGAAAUGCUUUAAAAAAAAAAAAAGAAGAAAAAAAGAAAAGAUUACGGCUUGUUUUAAAAAUGCCUUUCCUUGUGUCUUUAGUACUGCAUUAAGUUAUGUUUAUAUGUCUUAGUCUUAUCCUGAUUUAUAUGAUCAGAACUAAGCUUUCUUGGAUUUGUCUGGAGUCUGAAAAGAUAGGAACUGCGCCACCAGAUGCCAGUGAUACCCCAUGGGCUUGCAGGCUGCUCAGGGCUGUGCUGCCCUUUUCCCUGAUCCAUACCCUUUCCCUGACCCUGCUCUCCACCUACAGACCUGAGGAGCAGCGAUGGGCACAGGGACUGGGGUGAGUAGGUGGCUGGAGCAGCUGCUGGAAGGGGAUGUCUGGGGUGCAAGUAGAGUAAAGCCCUGGGAGGAAGCAGCAGCAGGGGCAGAGGGGUGACCCACACGUGUCACUGAGUGUCUGCACAUUGCUCGGAACAGGCGUCAGGGCCCAAAGGCACUCUGUGAGGCUGAAGAAGAAUGGUGGCCUGGUGACAGUGGAGGUGCAAGGACCUUCUAGUGAUGUAUCUACAGCCCAUUCAGCCAGACAUGGUUAACAACACAAGAGAGCAAUGUGGUAAAGUAGCUGCUAGUUGUCACUUGGAGAGUAUCCUUCUGUUAUUUCAGAAUUACUAAGACACUUAAUUGCCUGUUCAUUAACUGCCUCAGACAAAAAUAAGAUUUGAUUAAUUGUCAUUUCAGCAAAUUAGAGCCUGUUGUACAGACUAACAGAAUGAAGCAGCAAAGAGCUGGCUUUCUGCAGCUAGCUGUGACCUGCUCUGCCUGCACAGCGCCCACCACCCAUCACUGACCCUGGGGCCUUGGGCUAUAUGGGAACUGGAGGGGCCGCUGGUAUCAGUCCAGACUGUUCAUGAGGUGAGGACCAGAGAGUGCUGCCCAUGGCACAGUGGAGAUGACACCAGUGUUUGGCAGAGGUACAUGUGAACACAAAUGCAGACAGAUGGCAAGAGAGUGUGUUGGCCGUAAUUCCUAACUUUGAGAUCACUUCCUUGUUGUUGUUGUUUUUCUUUAAGCAGUAGUCAUUGUAACUGAUGAUGAUAAAAUUUCCAAGCUGACUGAGAUCUUGAAUUCGUCAUUGAAGACUGUAUGUUUUUCUCUAAAAUAGUCCAAUAUAGUAUGUUAUUUCUAACUUACGUACAUUCUGAUUUCAAAUAUACCUGAUUUUAGUUAUGUUAUUCAACGGGGAAAAUGGAAUUUGCACCUUUGCUAUAGAAUAAACUGGUUUAUCUAAUAGUCUUGGGUUUGAAAGAAAGGAAAGCCACAGAUUCAUUACAGGAGCACUGAAAAAUCCCACACAAGGUAUUUGCAGGUGUUAGUCACACAGCCAAGCAUUUCAAGAGCAGAUUCCUUGCCUGAUAUUGUUUUGCAUUCUUCUGACCAAAAGUUAAAGUUCCCUGAGAGCUUUUCUUCUUUUGAGCCAUCUUUCUGUUGAUCUUUUUUUUUUUUUUUCAAGAUCCCCAAUUGUUGCUCCCCUUUAAUGUUUUCUAAAGGGUCUUUCUCACCUGUUUGGAUGCAGCUAUAUCUUCUCCCUCCAUCUGUCGAAGCUUGGCCAAGAAAGUCAGUAGAAACCUCUCAUUUCUUUGGCAAGCCCUUGUCUAGUGAGGCUGGAUGCUCUUUCAACCUCCCAGUGUAAUUUGAUUUAGAAAUGUUUGAAACUUUGACAGUGUUGACAUUGGGAUUACACAGAAUUUGCUUUCAAGAAAGUUGAGGAUUAGCACAGCCAUUGACUGCUUGUGCUUUAUGCUUUUCAACAUCUAAACACUGAAGAAAAAUCUACACCAGAUUGGUGUCUUUGUAAACCCACCUGGGUUUUAGGACCUGACAGCGUGGUUGGGUGUGGAUGAGUGGGAGUGAUGAGACUCAAAGAUCACUCUACCUCCCCUGUGCCACACUACUGUAUGUGUUUGUCAGUUUCACCACUGGUUUAACUCUUCCCAGUGCAGAAUUUGGGAAGAAGAGACAUUUCAUCCUAUGCAGUGCAGGUUUGAAGAUGAUGACUGCAGAUACAGAACAAAAAUAGAUCAAUAAAAAUAGAAGAACAUUAAUGAGAGAAUUAAUAGAAGAAAGUUUUUUUUUGAGGGUGUGUGUGUGUGUGUGUGUGUGUGUGUGUGUGUGUGUGUGUGUGUGUGUGUGAUGGAAAGCUUUCUUCUGUUAGCAGAAGAAACUGACAUGGCUUCUCACUUAGUUGGUGGCCACGCUAGAGUGGAGUGGUUGGGGUCUUGCAAUAUGCCCCAU